rnacentral:rRNA from 1 species
CCCCGGAGAAUGUUAUCACGGGAGACACACGGCGGGUGCUAACGUCCGUCGUGAAGAGGGAAACAACCCAGACCGCCAGCUAAGGUCCCAAAGUCAUGGUUAAGUGGGAAACGAUGUGGGAAGGCCCAGACAGCCAGGAUGUUGGCUUAGAAGCAGCCAUCAUUUAAAGAAAGCGUAAUAGCUCACUGGUCGAGUCGGCCUGCGCGGAAGAUGUAACGGGGCUAAACCAUGCACCGAAGCUGCGGCAGCGAACGUAUCACCCAAGACAACUUUACGGAGUUGACGAUUGACGGAGCGAAGCGACGUCAAAGCGUUCAUUAAAGUCGAGUUGGCUUAGGGAUACGUUCGUUGGGUAGGGGAGCGUUCUGUAAGCCUGUGAAGGUGUGUCGUGAGGCAUGCUGGAGGUAUCAGAAGUGCGAAUGCUGACAUAAGUAACGAUAAAGCGGGUGAAAAGCCCGCUCGCCGGAAGACCAAGGGUUCCUGUCCAACGUUAAUCGGGGCAGGGUGAGUCGACCCCUAAGGCGAGGCCGAAAGGCGUAGUCGAUGGGAAACGGGUUAAUAUUCCCGUACUUGGUGUUACUGCGAAGGGGGGACGGAGAAGGCUAUGUUGGCCGGGCGACGGUUGUCCCGGUUUAAGCGUGUAGGGAACUCGGGUGAAGGAACUAGGCAAAAUGGUGCCGUAACUUCGGGAGAAGGCACGCUGACACGUAGGUGAAGUGAUUUACUCAUGGAGCUGAAGUCAGUCGAAGAUACCAGCUGGCUGCAACUGUUUAUUAAAAACACAGCACUGUGCAAACACGAAAGUGGACGUAUACGGUGUGACGCCUGCCCGGUGCCGGAAGGUUAAUUGAUGGGGUCAGCGYAAGCGAAGCUCCUGAUCGAAGCCCCGGUAAACGGCGGCCGUAACUAUAACGGUCCUAAGGUAGCGAAAUUCCUUGUCGGGUAAGUUCCGACCUGCACGAAUGGCGUAAUGAUGGCCAGGCUGUCUCCACCCGAGACUCAGUGAAAUUGAACUCGCUGUGAAGAUGCAGUGUACCCGCGGCAAGACGGAAAGACCCCGUGAACCUUUACUAUAGCUUGACACUGAACAUUGAGCCUUGAUGUGUAGGAUAGGUGGGAGGCUUUGAAGUGUGGACGCCAGUCUGCAUGGAGCCGACCUUGAAAUACCACCCUUUAAUGUUUGAUGUUCUAACGUGGACCCGUAAUCCGGGUUGCGGACAGUGUCUGGUGGGUAGUUUGACUGGGGCGGUCUCCUCCUAAAGAGUAACGGAGGAGCACGAAGGUUGGCUAAUCCUGGUCGGACAUCAGGAGGUUAGUGCAAUGGCAUAAGCCAGCUUGACUGCGAGCGUGACGGCGCGAGCAGGUGCGAAAGCAGGUCAUAGUGAUCCGGUGGUUCUGAAUGGAAGGGCCAUCGCUCAACGGAUAAAAGGUACUCCGGGGAUAACAGGCUGAUACCGCCCAAGAGUUCAUAUCGACGGCGGUGUUUGGCACCUCGAUGUCGGCUCAUCACAUCCUGGGGCUGAAGUAGGUCCCAAGGGUAUGGCUGUUCGCCAUUUAAAGUGGUACGCGAGCUGGGUUUAGAACGUCGUGAGACAGUUCGGUCCCUAUCUGCCGUGGGCGCUGGAGAACUGAGGGGGGCUGCUCCUAGUACGAGAGGACCGGAGUGGACGCAUCACUGGUGUUCGGGUUGUCAUGCCAAUGGCACUGCCCGGUAGCUAAAUGCGGAAGAGAUAAGUGCUGAAAGCAUCUAAGCACGAAACUUGCCCCGAGAUGAGUUCUCCCUGAGACUUUAUGUGACUGACUUUGCGAAUGCAGCCAACGCAGCAUCGGUGUAAAAGAUUCGUUUCUGGCAACAGAAUUUGCCUGGCGGCCGUAGCGCGGUGGUCCCACCUG